AAAGUGAAGUAAAGGUCUGGUGUGGGUGUGGCCCUGAUUAGCUAAACCAAACAGCUGUGAGUCUGGUUUUUAGAACACUGACAGUUGGUUCUUUCUGAGUAUGCCCAUGCCUAUCGUUGACUCAAAUGCUAAAUUUCUUAAUAUCAGCCGGGCAUUUUUUUUUUAACUUCUAAACUGCAGAAGAUAAAGGUCAGAGUAUGGGGCAAGGUCAGUAGUAGGGUUACAGGUACUCUGUGAACACAGCUGGUUUUUAAUUCAACAAAUUAUGAGAACUCUGACAGAAAAAAGUCCAACAAGGGUCUGAAUUUUUUUCUCUCUUUUUACACUUUAACUCUCAAUUCUCUCUGUUUUGUGUAUCACCAUGAAACUGUAGAGGGUUGUUAAGCAAGCGUUUCUGACUUCAGGACUAUAUGUUUUGUAAGGUUUUGUUUUGAAAUGAGCUUAUGGGAAGCAGCAGUAUGACAUAAGGGGGUAUUUUAAAUUUAACAUUGCGGAAUGUGAAAAAUCUGUGCUGGCUAUAGUAUACAGCCACUCUUGUGACUGUAUAAUACUGUGCAUCAUAAAGUCUUAUCUUAGUUCAGUAAGCUGCUCAAUCCUCCAGCCCACCUAAGCAGACAACUUUUUUUCUGUGUGUGCCAAACACACAUGUACAUCUUUUCUUUUAGGUUUUUAUUCAUGUAUAUGCAAAGAGUAUAAGUCAUUUUGAUGAUGCUACAAUAAUAAAAGUUGCAAGUUCAAGUUUAAUUGUACUUAACGUUUGCUAGCCGUAUCUGAGCUGUUGAGCUAUGAAACAGUUGAAUAAGAUCUUGGCUAUCAUGCCUCCCAGAAGUUAAUGUAAUUACCACAGAUGUGAAAUUGUCUUCUUAGAAGAGCAGCAGUGCAUUUCUAGAGACUUGUGGACAUAUUUGGGUGUUAGCCCAUAAUUAACAUUAGAACCUCCACCCAGCAUAUUCUCUGUUGCUCUUCUGUAAACUCCAGUGCAGUGUGUCAAUCCUUAGCAUUCUUCAAAGCUAACGGCAUUCUGUAUUGCUUCCAGAGAUCAAGAAAGGACGUCAUGGUCUGCUCACUUUUACGUUUGAGAAGAAUCAGUGCUUCAGGCCAUUAUGAUUCUAACAGAAUGUUUUGUGUUGUAGAGUUUGCCAUAUUUACUCCUCCUGAAUCCAUUUGAGAGCAAAUGUUUAUCAUACAAAUUAAAAGUAGGAACACAACAACUAGGUCGUCAAACACACCCAGAAUUCCACAAAGAGGUUCCGGCAUCCCAUCAAAUGGAGAGGUUACGCACAUGAUGGUUCCAAAACAGCAGAUGACAACUCUGAGGAAGAAGAUCCACACAAGGCCACCCAGUGUGAAGAUUCUUUGUAUGGCAAGGUUGAAAAGAAGUGGCAUGUCAUAAAGAUAAUCUGUAAGCUAGACAUGAAAUUUUGGAGACUCCAGGACACAUAUGAAGUUCUUCUGUCAGCAAGCAUUUCCCCAUUCAUUCAAAUGCAAUAGGCAGCACGCCACAAGCACAUUCUUCUGGUGCACAUGAAGUGAUCCCGUCUGUUGAAGUGAAUGGGGAAGCUCACAGUUGCCUGGAACUCCUCACAUCAAGCUGUCAGUGAUAUUUGGACAGCUUGUUUUUGGAAAAUUGGAGUGCAGCUGAAAAAAGAAGGGAAGCAGAGCCACUUCACCCUUUCCUCUGAGAAGUCUUCCCCAUCAGGCUUUCCCUCUCCCUUAAAGAUUACCCAGCAACAGCUAUUCCAUCAGGCUGCAGGAAAUGGAGCCCAGAAUGGAAGAUGGUGACCUUCUCAAGAUCAACCAUGAGUCUAUGAGAAAUAUGGGUUAUAGGGUUAACCUGCUCGAAUGACCUGAUCUGGCUGAUCACCUAUCCUGAGGCUCAAAUAUCAAGGCAGUGAAAACUUCAUUGUGAAUGUGAGGAAUGGCACAGCCCUCGUCUGAGGGUGGGAAAAUUAAAAGCUCCUGACUUCAUCUGGCCUGUAACCUGGCACUGAUAUUUCCUGCUGGCUGAAUCAUGCUGGGAGGAGCAUAUGAUUGACAAGGGGAAUCUACAGCUACAGCUGCUCUGUCUGGAGUUUUUAGUUCAAGAUGGGGCUCCUGAGAUAACAAAGCCUUGAGACCAAGGUGGCUCUCAGUGUGAUAAGAAGAUGCUUGGAAGGCAGGCAAUCAAAGGGCUGCUAUUCAAGUGCAAGAAAUUCCUGAGAGUCUGGUGUUGCCACCAUUCACCGUAUGCUCAGAGGCACAUGUUACCAAAUUCUUCCAAGCUACACAGGAAGUGGAUUGGACUGUGAAAGACAUAUGAAAUGGAAAUGGACUGCCUUCAAGUUGAUCCCGACUUAUGGCUACCCUAUGAAUAGGGUUUUCAUGCCUGCACUCUGGGAUGAUUGAGAAGAGAUCCUGGCCUUUCCCUGUGUGACAACCUUUCAAGUGCUUGAAGAGUGCUAUCAUAUCUCCCCUCAGUCUUCUCUUCUCAAGGCUAUGUUGGAGAAUUUUUCUCCAUUGGGAUCUUUUGCUGGGGAUCCUUAAAUAAAUUUGAAGACACAGGCUUGAAGCAAAAAGUCUCUCCUCAUAGGGCUUUGUUUCCAGUCUCCUGAUCAUCCUUGUUGUCAUCCUUUGAACCUGUUCCAGUUUGUCUGCAUCCUUAAAGUGUGGUGUCCAGAACUGGAUGCAGAACUCAAGAUGAGGCCUAACAAGUGCCAAGUAGAGGGGAACUAAACAUUCUCGCUUGCUGGAGGCUGAAGAAAGAGUGAACAGAUUGUGCCACCCCUUGGGGCCCAACAAACUGACACUCUUUUGGAACAGAACUGAUGCAGCCUGCAAGGAAGAUCUGCACCCCUUCACUUCCAGUGCCACUUGUGUUCAGGUGAAACAGGCUCAUCUUUACUUAUUGAGCGUGGCUGUGGAGGAGGCACAAAUGUCCCAAGAACCUUUUGUUGGUUAACUUAUUACAAGAGAUGCAAGAAAACAUAUUACAAUGCCACCCAACAUGCAAAUCAGACUCCUUCACAGUGAUGUAUCUCAAGUUUCAUACAAGAGUGCAUUACCAGUCAUUACCACUGAGUGGCUUCUGUUUUAUCUAGAGUUUUACAUUGCCUUCAGUAACCCUCAUGGGAAGUGGAACUGACUAAUGAGGAACAUAAGAAUCCCUCCUUGAUGAAGCCAAAAUGGAAAUGGACUGCCUUCAAGUCAAUCCUGACUUAUGGCGACCCUAUGAAUAGAGAUUUCAUGGUAAGCAGUAUUCAGAGGGGGUUUACCAUGUGUAUUAUCAUGUGUUUUAUAUUGUUUUAAAUUUUUAAAUUAUGUUUUAAAUUGUUUUUUAAAAGAUGUAUUUUUAAAUGGCAUAUGUUUUUAGUUACUGUAAACCGCCCAGAGAGCUUUGGCUAUGGGGCAGUAUACAAGUAUAAUAAAUAAAUAAAUAAAUAAAUAAAUAAAUAAAUAAUACCAUUGCCUCCCUCUGAGGCUAGUCCUCCCCAGCUGGUUAGGGCCUGCUCAGCUUGCCACAGCUGCACAAGCCAGCCCCUUCCUUGUCCACAACUGCCAGCUGGGGGCAACUGGGCUCCUUGGGACUAUGCAGCUUGCCCACGGCUGCACAAGUGGCAGGGCACGUAACCCCUGAGCCACUCACUGCGGGGGUGAUCUUUAGCUGGCCCUUUAUACCCAGAAGACACUAGCGGGGAUUUGAAUUCACAGACUCUGGACUCCCAGCCAGGCUCUCCUCCCCACAGCCCAUCUAAUCGGGCAUUCUGUUCUCAUAGUAGCCAUGUAGAUGCCCAUGGGAAUCCAAGCAGGACCUGAGUGUAACAGCACUGGGCUGACUGCACAAAUGCUCUGCUUAGCACAUAUAACUUAACUAGCAUCACCCCUUAUGUUGUUAGCUAUUGUAUUUUAAGAGCAUUAUCUCUGAUCUGCAUCACUCCUCCACCAAAAGCAGAAAUAUUGUAACUUCAGUAACACAAUCUAAUGUUCUCCUAAAGUACUUUGAGCUUCUCCAUUGAUCAUGAUUUGUCACCAGCAUUGAUCAUAAAUCUUAAACUUGUCUUAGAAGGUCAGGCAGUGUCCAGAUUACUAAACAGCCUGUCUUCUGGAUUGCAGGCAGAAAGCAGGAGAGAGGUGUGGAUCACAGCUGCCUGCUAAUUUCUGUAUUCUUUUCAGAGUUUCUUAAAACAUUAAAUAACCCAGUGCAACCAUCCACUUGCGAUUCAGCAGCAUCAUUCCAGCAGCUUUUUAGUAUUUCUAAAAGUGACAAGAUAUGCACAAUUCAUUGUCUGCUAAAAACGUCUUUCAGGGUUUUGCUGGUCAACAGUAUCAACUGACCAUAAUAACUUAAUAUGCCUGUUUUGGCCUACUGUUGUCUGCUGUUUUAGGUAUUCUGUUUUAUUAAUUUCAUUAUGUGAAACACAGUAUUGAAAUAGUUUUAAAUAAAUUAAACAAAAUAGAGGAACUACAGCAUGUAAUUUGCCAAAAUCUUUAAUCUCAUGACUAUCUUGACUGCAAAAAGAACCAUCUUGAACAUGAGAUAAGAAUAUUGUUUCCCCAGACUAACCUAUAUUCAUUCUUGAAUGUAUACAGAAAUUAUAAUCUAUUCUGUAUCUCUCCAUUUAUUUAGUUGGGUUGCUUUUCCUUUUAAUGUUGUGUAAAAGAUUUGGCAAAGACUUUUUAAUAUGUACAAAUAAUUGAGGUGGAGACAGAAUGUUGGCAAAAUGUGUUUUCUAGAAG